AACGAACGCUGGCGGCAUGCCUAACACAUGCAAGUCGAACGAGACCUUCGGGUCUAGUGGCGCACGGGUGCGUAACGCGUGGGAACCUGCCCUUAGGUUCGGAAUAACUCCCCGAAAGGGGUGCUAAUACCGGAUAAUGUCUUCGGACCAAAGAUUUAUCGCCUUUGGAUGGGCCCGCGUUGGAUUAGCUAGUUGGUAGGGUAAAAGCCUACCAAGGCGACGAUCCAUAGCUGGUCUGAGAGGAUGAUCAGCCACACUGGGACUGAGACACGGCCCAGAAUCCUACGGGAGGCAGCAGUGGGGAAUAUUGGACAAUGGGCGAAAGCCUGAUCCAGCAAUGCCGCGUGAGUGAUGAAGGCCUUAGGGUUGUAAAGCUCUUUUACACGGGAUGAUAAUGACAGUAACGGGAGAAUAAGCUCCGGCUAACUCCGUG
rnacentral:rRNA from 1 species